GGGCUGCGGCCUUCAAUACUUCGGCCUGCGGAUGCUCCAAGCAAGGUGCCCGAGGGUAGUCUCCCAUCAGAAGCUGUGUCUGUUACAGCCCCCGUGUGUGCACUCCAGCGUUUUAAAGGUUUUGGGAGGUAUGAAUUGGAACUUUCUCAGAUGUAGCAUAUGAAUAAUUUAUUUAUGGAGCCAGCAGAACCUCAUGGAGUUUAAGCGUGGACCUCUAACUCUCAGAGCAAGGAGCCUCCCAAGCCACGACUGCAGGCUUCAUACUGAAUACCAGCUGAGGGAGAAGAGCAGCAGCAGCAGAAAAGCAGGAUUUUCCUUUGGCUAAACAUCACAUUGGAGAACAGGUCAUCAGGCUUAAAACUCCAGACUUACACUCUCAGUAUAUCAUUUGCCUAUUGGAAAGAAUGUUGUGCAUAGAGAAUGAAAAGCCCUGAGUUCCAAAUCUCACUCUACCUUAUACCAACAGCAUCACUUCAGGAUGGGAUGCUAUGUUGAAAGACUCUCCUUUUCUGUCUGACAUGAUUUCUUUCUGCACUGCAAGCUGUUCUCCAAAAUGAAUAAUGACAGUGCCAUGUCUUCGAUGAGGCAGAACACCAACACUAAAUUGUGUCAUCACUUCUCUCAUACUGUAAAGUAGCAUGUGGUGGGCCCAGGAUCCCAGUCAGGGAAUGGCCACCCUGGUGAGUUGGACUGAUACAGCCUGCCGAAUCCAUUGCUCGGAUCCCUUGGCAGUCAUUUAAUAUUAUUACUUUCCCUCCUUUUCUUGGAUUUCUGCUUCCUCCUGUCUCCAUGUGAAGCAUGAGUGAAUUGGGAGAAGGCUGGGAAGGCGAACGGGCUCAAAACAAGAGCAAAAGAUAAUA
ensembl:lncRNA